AAAAAAACCCACAAUUAAAUACUGACUCUUAAUGCUACAGUUGAGCAGAAGAGGGGAGAGAGAGAGAGAGAGAGAGAGCUAGAGGUGCAUAAAAGCUAGCAUUUAUGCAGAUGAGGGAGGAAGAUACAGCUAGAGAGAGCUGUAGGGGGAGAAUUGUCACGAGGCUUCUCUUUCUCUUACCUAAAACAUGCAUGCCUCGAGUGGUUGUGUGCCAGGAGCUUCAGCUGGUUGCUUAAAAAGAGCCUUAAUUUCCAUCAAAGGCCAAACCUUUAUGCAGCGUCUUGCUUCUUCUUUCUAUUCCCUUGUCUGGUUUUGUUGGUUUGAGAGCUUGAAGCUGCCAGCAUGAUCUGGUAUACUUAACCUAUAGCUAUAUCAGCCUCACACUACUAGUAAUAUACAUAUAUAUAUUAGAUCUUGCAGCACCAAAUUAUAAAUAUAUAUGUAUGGCCAAAUAGGUAGAGAUUGAUUUUUGGAUAUACAGAACCAAACUUUGGUGGAUGCCUUCAUUUCUUAUAGAUCUUGAUAAUUUCAUGUUUUCGAAGAGAAGGGUUUUUAGUCAAUUAAUUAACCAAGAGAAUUGACAUCCUGCUAAUUACAUAUAUAUUUAGUUUAAUUACUAGCUAGAUAUAUGUAAGGUUCUUCUACCAGGUCAUCUUGCAGCUUCAAUCACUCACACCAACAAUAGAAAAACUUCUUUAGCUAAGGAUAUAUACAAGGUCUCUUCCCAAGCACAGGUUUAUUUCAGGUAUAUACAUCAUCUCUUCUACAGCAAGCACACACCUUCAGAUCAAAGUUCAAAGCUUGAUGAAUUCAUUACUUGAUAACAGCUCUCUCUCUCUCUCUCUCUCUCUCUCUCUCUCUGUGUGUAUGUGUGUGUGUGUGUGUGUAGUUAUGCCUGCAUGUUGGUUUUGGACUAUGCUGGUAGAAUCUAGAAUCAGCAUAUGCAAGACGGAUGAAAUAAAAGCUUUGAAUGAGACAAGUCUUAAUGGCUAUGUCGUAUUUUGCCUGCAAUUUCUUUAUUGAGUUUACAUCAUUGCCCGAUUCAUAUUAUUACCUCACAAAAUAGUUUUCAUAUUUGAAGACAUAAACCAAAAGAAAUUUUAGGGGUGCAUAUAGGGAUGCACUUAAUUAUGAUUCACCCUUGUUAGUGUACCUUUUCAUCAGAUCAAUCGAGUCUGGAGGUCAAGAAAAGCUAAUAAGUGUACUGUAUAUCUCAUGUUCAUAUGGACCACUAAUUAAUCUGAUGAAUUUACAAUGUUAUCUUAGUUUCAGGUGCAUCAUUAAUCAGAAUCAAUAUUAGAUUCUGUAUUUGUAAAUAAAUAUUAUAAAAUUACCUAAUCGAUACGCUAAAUUACUAGGUGU
rnacentral:lncRNA from 1 species